GUGGGGGAUAUUGCACAAUGGAGGAAACUCUGAUGCAGCGACGCCGCGUGAGUGAAGAAGUAUUUCGGUAUGUAAAGCUCUAUCAGCAGGGAAGAUAAUGACAGUACCUGACUAAGAAGUCCCGGCUAACUACGUGCCAGCAGCCGCGGUAAUACGUAGGGGGCAAGCGUUAUCCGGAUUUACUGGGUGUAAAGGGAGCGUAGACGGAAUGGCAAGUCUGAAGUGAAAUCCUGCGGCUUAACUGCAGAAUUGCUUUGGAAACUGUCAAUCUGGAGUGUUGGAGAGGUAAGCGGAAUUCCUGGUGUAGCGGUGAAAUGCGUAGAUAUCAGGAAGAACACCGGAGGCGAAGGCGGCUUACUGGACAAUAACUGACGUUGAGGCUCGAAAGCGUGGGAAGCAAACAGGAUUAGAUACCCGGGUAGUCC
rnacentral:rRNA from 1 species